GUAGCUCAGUGGAUACAACGCCGCGUCCCGUAAGGGAUGCAAGGCCGAAAGUAUUGGCCUCCGAAGCCAAGGGUCGCUGGUUCGAUUCCAGCCAGCCGCGCCA
rnacentral:tRNA from 2 species